rnacentral:tRNA from 4 species
GCCCAGAUGGCGGAAUUGGUAGACGCGCACGGUUCAGGUCCGUGUGACGCAAGUCGUGGAGGUUCGAGUCCUCUUCUGGGCACCA